AGAAACGGAGAGCGAACGGAGAGGUGAGCGAACAGAGAGCGUCACAUCCAAGGAUCCUCGCCCAGCUAGAAUGGCAGCAGCGAGAAUGGCGAGGCUGCGGAGGAAGGAGAGGAAUCAGAUGGUCUGAGAGGCGUCUGGCUCGUCGAGGAAUAGUUCCUCAGGCACAAGGAAAGCACUAUGGAGGCAAUCGACCACGAUGCCGAGCAUGAGAGCGGAGAUGAAGGUGGAGCUGACGCUAGUGAUGAACACGACGAAGACGGUGAGCCCAAUAACUAGGGUUUCAAAAUCUUUAACCGAUACAAAGCUCAAUUGAUUUGUGUGGUGUGUUGAACUUGCUCUUUUCGAGUAUUUUGCUGGAGAGAAAGAAAGUGUUUUGCAAGUAAGUUCAUGUUUUGCAAAAGGUGCAAUGGUGCUUAUCAUUGUUCGGUCUGCAACCUCCUCAUAAGUUCAAUUUUGAAAUGCUAGAGUGGGAGGGCAAGGAUUUCUUAAAAGAUGUUCUGUAUCCAAUCUAAGGCCUAUAAACGUGAAGGUUGAAUAUUUCAUUUUUCAGGUGUUUCUGCUGUAGUCCAGGGAGAAAAUAAUGACAACUGCAAGGAAAGAGAAAAAGAGAGAGAGGCUCGAAGAGAAGAGAAGCCUAAGAAAGCAACUUUGUUGGAAAAGCUUGAAGAUGGGGAUUCUAUUGCUGCAAGCAUGCUGCAGGGCUCUCAAAUUAAUAAUGAAAAAGAAGCUGGUUUAAUAACUAAUUCCAUUAAUAGUGUCACUCAACUGAAGGAGAGGUUGUCAAGUCAUAAUCCAUACAGAGGCAAGUCUGACUCCGUUAGGUUUGUUGAGUAUUGGGUUCCUGUACAAAUAUCUAAUAUGCAGCUUGAACAAUAUUGUUCUAUUUUACUGUCAAAUGCUUCUAUUCUGCGCUCCUCAUCAAAGGUUGAUAGCAUUGAGGCCGUUCGUGAUGUUCUUAUAUUAACUCGGAAGUGUUGUAGUCAUCCCUAACAAGGGUCUCGAACCGUCUCAGUAUCUUGAUUUUGAUUUAAAAGCAAGUGGCAAGUUGCAACUUCUUGAUUCAAUGCUUGAGGAGUUGAGAAAAAGUGAUUUAAGGGUGCUCAUUCUUUUUCAGCAAUAUGAUAAAAAAUCUGGACAAGAAAAGAACAGAAUUGGCUUUGUACAUUUUGCAGAGAGGUCCAAUGCUAUGAAAGCACUGAAAGAUAUGAAUUAGAAGGUAAAGUUUUAGAGUGCUCUUUGGCAAAGCCACGGUCUGAUCAAAAGUCUGGAGGGUCAAACACACAGAAGUUAGGACCAGGAUUGCUUGCAAGUUAUCCACAACAUGUCGGUUAUGGUUUGGUUGGCGGUGCCUAUGGUGCACUAGGUGCUGGAUAUCAUGCUCUAGGUCUUGCACAGGUUUCUGAUCAAGAGAGUGUGCCAACUAAUACAACAAGUUCUGUACAUGAGGAAAAUCAUGUGAUAGUUGAAGAAUAUAAUAUAAUGUGGAAGUUAAUGAAUCAUUUUAUGUUUUGAGAACCAUUGCAGUACUUCAUGAUAGUUUUUGCUGACUAAUAUUGUACUUGAAUUUGAAUUUGAAUUCGUAUAUUUGUUAUACUUUGAUAUACA